rnacentral:lncRNA from 1 species
AAUUAAAACACUAUUGGCUGCUCUAGUAAUAUGUGGUGCACCUAAAACUCAAGUGAGAAAAAGGGGAAUUAAUAUAUGGGUAUUACUAGCAUUCGUGGUAGUUAGCUCUGGUAUCAAAAUAUGGUAAACACAAGGGUAUUAACAAAACUAGUACACAAUAAGUCUAGCAAUAAAAUUAUAUUUCUCAAUAAACAAUGUCUGAUAUUAUAUAAAAAAGAAGAUGUGG